rnacentral:rRNA from 1 species
AUUGAACGCUGGCGGCAGGCCUAACACAUGCAAGUCGAACGGUAACAGGAAGCAGCUUGCUGCUUCGCUGACGAGUGGCGGACGGGUGAGUAAUGUCUGGGAAACUGCCUGAUGGAGGGGGAUAACUACUGGAAACGGUAGCUAAUACCGCAUAACGUCGCAAGACCAAAGAGGGGGACCUUAGGGCCUCUUGCCAUCGGAUGUGCCCAGAUGGGAUUAGCUAGUAGGUGGGGUAACGGCUCACCUAGGCGACGAUCCCUAGCUGGUCUGAGAGGAUGACCAGCCACACUGGAACUGAGACACGGUCCAGACUCCUACGGGAAGCAGCAGUGGGGAAUAUUGCACAAUGGGCGCAAGCCUGAUGCAGCCAUGCCGCGUGUAUGAAGAAGGCCUUCGGGUUGUAAAGUACUUUCAGCGGGGAGGAAGGGAGUAAAGUUAAUACCUUUGCUCAUUGACGUUACCCGCAGAAGAAGCACCGGCUAACUCCGUG